UACGUAGGGUGCGAGCGUUGUCCGGAAUUAUUGGGCGUAAAGAGCUUGUAGGCGGUUUGUCGCGUCUGCUGUGAAAUUUCGGGGCUCAACCCCGAACUUGCAGUGGGUACGGGCAGACUAGAGCGUGGUAGGGGAGACUGGAAUUCCUGGUGUAGCGGUGAAAUGCGCAGAUAUCAGGAGGAACACCGAUGGCGAAGGCAGGUCUCUGGGCCACUACUGACGCUGAGAAGCGAAAGCAUGGGGAGCGAACAGG
rnacentral:rRNA from 1 species